GUGCCUACGGGGCGCAGCAGUGGGGGAUAUUGCACAAUGGGGGAAACCCUGAUGCAGCGACGCCGCGUGUGGGAAGACGGUCCUCUGGAUUGUAAACCACUGUCCCCAGGGACGAAGAUGACGGUACCUGGGGAGGAAGCUCCGGCUAACUACGUGCCAGCAGCCGCGGUAAUACGUAGGGAGCAAGCGUUGUCCGGAUUUACUGGGUGUAAAGGGUGCGUAGGCGGCUUUGCAAGUCAGAAGUGAAAUCCAUGGGCUUAACCCAUGAACUGCUUUUGAAACUGCAGAGCUUGAGUGGAGUAGAG
rnacentral:rRNA from 1 species